CAGCAGUGCUGCUGCCAUGGAUGCCCUGAGAGCCUCUGACUUCUAAGGUGCUACCUUCUGCCUGCUUCACAUCAAAUGCAUCUAUAUUUCUGGGUGCAUCACAGAGAACACCACUGCUCUCCAGUGUCCUCACUUUGGAACUCUCAACUGAACUUCUGGGUUGCACCUCCAGCUCUCUUCACUUUCUGUGAUUUGGGACUGUUCUGUCUGUACAAAUGCAAAUCAUGAGACUCCCCUUGGGGGAGAAGAGAGAGUCAGAGAGUCAGACUGUCAUGCCCAGAGAGUGGCUGGCUCCUACCCCCGGAAAUGGGCCUCUUACUGUGACUGCCCUGGGGCCAGCCGAACAGCUGCGUUGGCCGAGCAGGAAGUGGUGAACAGGCUGGACCCUGUUCCAGCACGUUGUGGGGGAAAGAAAGAAAAAAGAAAAAAAAAGUUCCAUCAGAGAAACUGCACGCUAGCUUAGGCCAAGGCUGAUCACUGACCUCCUGUGUGGUACAAUCGAUCUGGACCAACCACUUCCCCCUUAUUCUUCCCCGUAUGGGAAAGUCGGUGCAGGUGCGCAGGGCCACACAAAGCAGCUUGGGAGAUAGCAG
rnacentral:lncRNA from 1 species